rnacentral:siRNA from 1 species
GAUGAUGUCUUCUUGUGGCCUUUU